rnacentral:rRNA from 1 species
GGGUUCAGAACGUCGUGAGACAGUUCGGUCCCUAUCCGUCGCAGGCGCAGGAUACUUGAGAGGAUCUGUCCCCAGUACGAGAGGACCGGGAUGGGCACACCGAUGGUGUACCGGUUGUUCCGCCAGGGGCAUAGCCGGGUAGCCAGGUGUGUAAUGGAUAAACGCUGAAAGCAUCUAAGUGUGAAACCAGCCUCAAGAUAAGGUAUCCCACUCAUAAAGAGGUAAGACCCCUGGGAGAAGACCAGGUAGAUAGGCUGGAGGUGUAAGUGUGGUUACACAUUGAGCUGACCAGUACUAUUAGGUCGAGGGCUUAAUCUAA